AUGGAAUGGAGCUGGAUCAUUCUCUUCCUCCUGUCAGUAACUACAGGUGUCCACUCUCAGGUCCAGCUGCAACAGUCUGGGGCUGAGCUGGUGAGGCCUGGGUCCUCAGUAAAGUUGUCCUGCAAGGCUUCUGGCUACACCUUCACAGACUACUAUAUGCACUGGGUGAAGCAGAGGCCCGGGCAGGGGCUGGAGUGGAUUGGACGGUUUAAUACUUUAAAUGGUGGUACUGACUACAAUCAGAAGUUCCAGGGCAAGGCCACCCUGACUGCAGACAAAUCCUCCAGCACAGCCUACAUGGAGCUCAGCAGCCUGACACCUGAGGACUCUGCAGUCUAUUACUGUGAGACACACAGUGCUUCAACCACAUCCUGA